GCCGGAUUAGCUCAGUUGGCAGAGCAGUUCAUUCGUAAUGAAAAGGUCACCAGUUCGAAUCCGGUAUCCGGCA
rnacentral:tRNA from 3 species